UACGGAGGGUGCAAGCGUUAUCCGGAUUUACUGGGUUUAAAGGGUGUGUAGGCGGGCUUUUAAGUCAGUGGCGAAAUCUCCGGGCUCAACCCGGAAACUGCCAUUGAUACUAUUAGUCUUGAAUUUUGUUGAGGUAGGCGGAAUAAGUCAUGUAGCGGUGAAAUGCAUAGAUAUGACUUAGAACACCAAUUGCGAAGGCAGCUUGCUAAACAAAUAUUGACGCUGAGGCACGAAAGCGUGGGGAUCAAACAGG
rnacentral:rRNA from 1 species